rnacentral:lncRNA from 10 species
UUUUCACACUGACCAGAAAAUUAAACCCAGACUCCUCGGAGAGGGUGGCAGGAGGCUGGGGUAGGGGUGGGGGCGGUUGGCUUGGGUUGGGUUCCCGAUGCCCACGUCAACCUGCUCCCUCCCUGCACUCUGUCUCCCCCCUCGAAACAUACAGGGGACGACAGUUCUCUCCACCCUCAGGAAGAGGCAGGCCCCUCCUGGAAUGCUCCAGGCUGAGCUUUUGUCCUUGGUUUGUCAUCGAGACAAAUGUGGCCUCCCUUCUGGCCUGCAUGUCUCUCUCUUCCCCCACCACUCUUGCAGGAAAUGCUUCUCUUCUCUUAUAGGAGGAGGAUUGACACCAGCCACACGUAUGUCUGCUGCUGACAAAUGUGCGCACGCCUUGGAGGGCGGGGCCAGGCAGGACAGAGCCGCCCAUGACAGGGGGACACCUCCUGUUCUAGAAUUCUUGGACUGAUUAUCCAUCUUGACAAAGGAGGCCUUGAAUCAAAUUUAAUCUGGUUUAGUGCACUUAUCAAAGAGACAUCGGAGAGAUCCCUUGUGCCUUCUGCCAUGUGAGUUAUAGUGAGAAGACAGCCAUCUACUAGGAAUCAGACCGUCAUCAGACACCAAAUCUGCCAGCACCUUGAUCUUAGAUUUCCCAGACUCCAGAACUGUUAGAAAUAAAUUUCUGUUGUUUAUAAGCCACCCAGUCUAUGGUAUUUUGUUAUAGCAGCCCGAAAAGACUAAGACAUAUGCCAAGCACCAUAGGAAAUGUGCUACCUGUUAUAGACACAUCUUCUAUGUGCCAUUAUCCACCCUUUAAAUAAAGGCCUUAGAAUGAGCUGGGCAAUGGAGGUGCGAAAUGUCAACCUUUGCCUACUCCUUGGCAUAGGGAAGGGGAG